CAGUUGGCCUAACUUUUGGAGACUUUGGCACCCGGCUCUACUGGGCUGACCAUGCGAAAGGUGUUGUCGAAAGCAUUCAGCUGGAUGGUUCCAGGUUCAGGCUAAUUCGGGGAGGGCUGCAUGGCCUCACACUCUUCGUGGCUGGUGAAGGGAUGAUGGUCUGGACAACCCCAACCCGCAAUGGCUCAACUAGAGUGUGGCAUAGCAAACUGGAACUCAUGGAAAACUGGUGGUUUCAAGUGGACCAGAAGAUUGUGGACUUGAAAAUCUACAGCAAGUUCACCC